AGGAUGAACGCUGGCGGCGUGCCUAACACAUGCAAGUCGAACGUCCUGUCUCGCAAGAGGCGGGGAGUGGCGGACGGGUGAGUACCACGUGGGUCAUCUACCGUGAGGUGAGGAAUACCGGCGAGAAAUCGCCGACAAGACCGCAUAGCCUCGGUGCAAGUCGAGGAAAGCUCUCUCGAGAGAGGGAGCGCCACACGAGGAGCCUGCGCCCGAUUAGCUAGCUGGUGGAGUAAUGGUUCACCAGGGCGACGAUCGGUAGCUGGUCUGAGAGGACGAUCAGCCACACUGGGAUUGAGAACGGCCCAGACUCCUACGGGGGCAGCAGUGAGGAAUUUCGUCAAUGGGGGCAACCCUGAACGAGCAACGCCGCGUGCAGGAAGAAGGUUUUCGGAUCGUAAACUGCUUUUCUCGGGAAGAGAACGGACGGUACCCGAGGAAUCGAGCCCCGGCUAACUACGCGCCAGCAGCCGCGGU
rnacentral:rRNA from 1 species